GACGAACGCUGGCGGCGUGCUUAACACAUGCAAGUCGAGCGAUGAAGUUCCUUCGGGAAUGGAAUAGCGGCGGACGGGUGAGUAACACGUGGGUAACCUGCCUCUUAGAGGGGAAUAGCCUUUCGAAAGGAAGAUUAAUACCGCAUAAGAUUGUAGCUUCGCAUGAAGUAGCAAUUAAAGGAGUAAUCCGCUAUGAGAUGGACCCGCGUCGCAUUAGCUAGUUGGUGAGGUAACGGCUCACCAAGGCGACGAUGCGUAGCCGACCUGAGAGGGUGAUCGGCCACAUUGGGACUGAGACACGGCCCAGACUCCUACGGGAGGCAGCAGUGGGGAAUAUUGCACAAUGGGGGAAACCCUGAUGCAGCAACGCCGCGUGAGUGAUGACGGUCUUCGGAUUGUAAAGCUCUGUCUUCAGGAAAGAAAAUGACGGUACCUGACUAAGAAGCCCCGGCUAACUACGUGCCAGCCGCCGCCGUAA
rnacentral:rRNA from 1 species